AUGGCGCACCCUCACGCUCAAACACACUACGUGCGGCCAGACGCACGCACGGUCACCUACACCACCACCAGCAACCCUCCCAGCUCCCACGCGAUGCCGGCGCAGCAACCGCCAGUCCACGGCCCGUACGGCCCCGCCGCCGGCGCGCCGCCUCGAGCAGACGGCAAGCCACGCAAGCGCAAGAAGUCCAAGUCCAAGUCCAAGCACGUCCGGUUCAACACGCCGGGGCCGGGGCCGGGGCCACCGCCGAACGCUGCCGACGCGUACCAGCAUCAGCAUGCACCGCCGGCGGCAGGGACAAGCGGUGACGCGGUGUACGGCGACCAGCACCAGCACCAGCACCACGCGGCCGCCUCCCACGCCUACGCCCCAGCGCCGCAGGGGCAGGGGCACGGGCACGGGUACGGAUACGGCAGGUACGCGCCGUCGCCGCUGACGCGGUGGGAGAUGCUGGGCGCCGGGGGCACACCGAGGCGGCACGAGUACUUCUCCGGCGAGUACCGGUGGUACUACCCCACGCCGGUGCGCGAGGGCAUCUACAGCAUGGCCACGGACGCCAACCGGCUCACGGCCAUCUUCAGCGAGGAGAAUCCCAACGCUUGCACCAUAGUCUGA
rnacentral:rRNA from 1 species